rnacentral:rRNA from 1 species
GGGUCAGUAGGUUGGUCGUGCCACCGGUACGUACUGGUCUCACUGAUUCCUCCUUCCUGAAGAACCGUAAUGCCAUUAAUUUGGUGUUGCGGGGAAACAGGACUGUUACUUUGAAAAAAUUAGAGUGUUUAAAGCAAGCUAACGCUCGAAUACAUUAGCACGGAAUAAUGAAAUAGGACGAUCGAUCCUAUUUUGUUGGUUUCUAGGAUUGACGUA